GUCUGGCAGGUUCCCUGCGGCGCCCCCCGGUCCGUGUGUCGGUCCGGCCCCUUCGCCCCGGUCCGUGGGUCUGUCCGGUUCCCUCCCCCCGGUCCGUGUGUCGGUCCGGCCCCUUCGCCCCGGUCCGUGUGUCGGUCCGGCCCCUUCCCCCCGG